UGGGGAAUAUUGCACAAUGGGCGCAAGCCUGAUGCAGCCAUGCCGCGUGUGUGAAGAAGGCCUUCGGGUUGUAAAGCACUUUCAGCGAGGAGGAAGGUGGUGAGCUUAAUACGCUCAUCAAUUGACGUUACUCGCAGAAGAAGCACCGGCUAACUCCGUGCCAGCAGCCGCGGUAAUACGGAGGGUGCAAGCGUUAAUCGGAAUUACUGGGCGUAAAGCGCACGCAGGCGGUUUGUUAAGUCAGAUGUGAAAUCCCCGGGCUCAACCUGGGAACUGCAUUUGAAACUGGCAAGCUAGAGUCUCGUAGAGGGGGGUAGAAUUCCAGGUGUAGCGGUGAAAUGCGUAGAGAUCUGGAGGAAUACCGGUGGCGAAGGCGGCCCCCUGGACGAAGACUGACGCUCAGGUGCGAAAGCGUGGGGCAGCAAACAGGAUUAGAUACCCUGGUAGUCCACGCUGUAAACGAUGUCGAUUUUGGAGGUUGUGCCCUUGAGGCGUGGCUUCCGGAGCUAACGCGUUAAAUCGACCGCCUGGGGAGUACGGCCGCAAGGUUAAAACUUAAAUGAAUUGACGGGGUCAUAGCUGUUUCCU
rnacentral:rRNA from 1 species